rnacentral:rRNA from 1 species
AACGAACGCUGGCGGCAUGCCUAACACAUGCAAGUCGAACGAGACCUUCGGGUCUAGUGGCGCACGGGUGCGUAACGCGUGGGAACCUGCCCUUAGGUUCGGAAUAACUCCCCGAAAGGGGUGCUAAUACCGGAUAAUGUCUUCGGACCAAAGAUUUAUCGCCUUUGGAUGGGCCCGCGUUGGAUUAGCUAGUUGGUAGGGUAGAAGCCUACCAAGGCGACGAUCCAUAGCUGGUCUGAGAGGAUGAUCAGCCACACUGGGACUGAGACACGGCCCAGACUCCUACGGGAGGCAGCAGUAGGGAAUAUUGGACAAUGGGCGAAAGCCUGAUCCAGCAAUGCCGCGUGAGUGAUGAAGGCCUUAGGGUUGUAAAGCUCUUUUACCCGGGAUGAUAAUGACAGUACCGGGAGAAUAAGCUCCGGCUAACUCCGUG